rnacentral:rRNA from 1 species
CCUACGGGGGGCUGCAGUGGGGAAUAUUGGACAAUGGGGGCAACCCUGAUCCAGCCAUGCCGCGUGUGUGAAGAAGGCCCUCGGGUUGUAAAGCACUUUCAGUGAGGAAGAACGCCUGGUGGUUAAUACCCAUCAGGAAAGACAUCACUCACAGAAGAAGCACCGGCUAACUCCGUGCCAGCAGCCGCGGUAAUACGGAGGGUGCGAGCGUUAAUCGGAAUUACUGGGCGUAAAGCGCGCGUAGGUGGCUUGAUAAGCCGGUUGUGAAAGCCCCGGGCUCAACCUGGGAACGGCAUCCGGAACUGUCAAGCUAGAGUGCAGGAGAGGAAGGUAGAAUUCCCGGUGUAGCGGUGAAAUGCGUAGAGAUCGGGAGGAAUACCAGUGGCGAAGGCGGCCUUCUGGACUGACACUGACACUGAGGUGCGAAAGCGUGGGUAGCAAACAGGAUUAGAUACCCCAGAAGUC